AGCAUAGGUUACACUUGCGAAUCAGUGUACUUAUUAAAUGUUUUUCUUAAUUUCUUUUCCAUAGGACUCUCAAAUUCCAACAUUAACCUGCCAGGUCGAGAGGAUCAAGGCCCCAUCUCUCCGUCAGCACAGCUGCAGGACAAAAACGCCAACAACCACACCUCUCCCAACUCUUCGAACCCUGCGCCCAUUGAGAACGGCAACCAGAUCUCUAAUGGGACGUUGGAAGACGAGGGACAUCCAAAGUCGAAUGCGUCCAGCACCUCGGCGUUACACAGGCACAUGGACAGCCACCACACUCAGAGGGGUCACCUCAACUUCUCGCCCUUCGGUGCGGGGGCAGCGCUGUAGGCUGGGGGCUGAAUGAGCCCUCAUGCCUGUGUAGGGAUGGGGUGAGUCUGGUCUAUAGCACAGUACCUCACUGACUACCCUUCACCUUGCAAUUCCUGCCUUUUACGUUUCCCUUUUUUGCUUUCCAUGCUAUUGAGGAAACUGCAGCUCUGCGACAUCUAGCAACCGAAGCGAUAGGGAAAUAAUGUAGGAUAAUGCUGUUGUGGUAAUCAGUAUUCAAGAAAUAGUUCAUCUAAAACUGAAGACUUUCACCAGUUACUCAUUGAUUUAUGUAGUUUAAAACCUGACUUUCUUUUGAGGAAUGAAAAAUGAGAAAUUUUGAAGAAUGUUCAGGCAGCUGCAUUCCUGCCAAGCUCCAAAAAUAACAAAAAGUAUUUAAAAGCAUUGUAAAAUUUGUCCAGACUUAUGUGUUUAUUAGAGGAAAAAACAGCAUACAAGUUUAAAUGGACAUGCCGAUGAGUAAAUGGUGGCAGAACUUUAAUUUGAGGGUGAACUAUUCCUGUAAAUGUGAUAUUAU
rnacentral:lncRNA from 1 species